AUCCCAAGACUUCCCACUUGGACUGUCAACCAUGGCUUUAGCCAGACCCCACACCCUUGGGAAUAGCCAUAACAACCCCUUGCUGUGUGCCUUAAAUAGCUAAUGAGGUACAUGUGUUUUUUUUUCAGACUGUACUACUUGCCAUGGUCUGAGGCCUGUCUCUCAAAGACACUGUGGGGCGGGUCCUUAAGGGAGCUAUGAAGACCUCGCUGGCAAAAUGAGUGAACUGGAGUGGGGCAAACCAAAAGCCUGCAUUCAAAGGCCUCAUUUUGAAAGACGUGGUUUUGGACGCAGUUCGUAGGAAUGCCCUGACCAGAGAUGCGACUGAUCUGGAAAUAGACCGGCUCAUCACCAGGGGGCUGCAGCUGGCCUCUGAUCGAGACGGUGGGGGAACAGGAAUCAGACAUGUUCAUAGGCAGUGCCUCAUUUGGAACUGUGUUUACAAGUGCAAAGUGUAUUUUUCUUCAUGAAAAACACUGUCUCUGUUGAUUUGGUGGCUUCAUGUUUGUUGUGUUUGAGAUUCUGCUUCUCAAGAAAAAUAAAAAGUUGGAUUUAAACUU